UACGUAGGGUGCAAGCGUUGUCCGGAAUUAUUGGGCGUAAAGAGCUUGUAGGCGGCCUGUUGCGUCUGCUGUGAAAUCCCGGGGCUUAACCCCGGGCGUGCAGUGGAUACGGGCAGGCUGGAGGCAGGCAGGGGAGAAUGGAAUUCCCGGUGUAGCGGUGAAAUGCGCAGAUAUCGGGAGGAACACCGGUGGCGAAGGCGGUUCUCUGGGCCUGUUCUGACGCUGAGGAGCGAAAGCGUGGGGAGCGAACAGG
rnacentral:rRNA from 1 species